rnacentral:rRNA from 1 species
UACAGAGGGGGCAAGCGUUAUUCGGAAUUAUUGGGCGUAAAGGGUGCGUAGGCGGCUUGGCAAGUGGAUGGUGAAAUCCCUCGGCUUAACCGAGGAACUGCCAUCCAGACUGCUUUGCUUGAGGCCGGGAGAGGUGAGUGGAAUUCCCAGUGUAGCGGUGAAAUGCGUAGAUAUCCUGAGGAACGCCGGUGGCGAAAGCGACGUGCUGGACCUCUUCUGACGCUGAGGCGCGAAAGCCAGGGGAGCAAACGGG